rnacentral:rRNA from 1 species
CCCUUAGACGUUCUGGGCCGCACGCGCGCUACACUGACCAGUGCAACAAGCAUCCGUCCUUGGCCGACAGGCCCGGGCAAUCUUUGAACGCUGGUCGUGAUGGGGAUAGACUUUUGCAAUUUUUGGUCUUCAACGAGGAAUUCCUAGUAAACGCAAGUCAUCAACUUGCAUUGAUUACGUCCCUGCCCUUUGUACGCACCGCCCGUCGCACCUACCGAUUGAAUGGUCCGGUGAAGCCUCCGGAUUGGCGCGCACCUCGGUGCCGCCGAGAAGUUGGCUAAACCUUACCAUUUAGAGGAAGGUGAAGUCGUANCA